AGUGAACGCUGGCGGUAGGCCUAACACAUGCAAGUCGAACGGCAGCACAGUAAGAGCUUGCUCUUACGGGUGGCGAGUGGCGGACGGGUGAGGAAUACAUCGGAAUCUACUUUUUCGUGGGGGAUAACGUAGGGAAACUUACGCUAAUACCGCAUACGACCUACGGGUGAAAGCAGGGGAUCUUCGGUCCUUGCGCGAUUGAAUGAGCCGAUGUCGGAUUAGCUAGUUGGCGGGGUAAUGGCCCACCAAGGCGACGAUCCGUAGCUGGUCUGAGAGGAUGAUCAGCCACACUGGAACUGAGACACGGUCCAGACUCCUACGGGAGGCAGCAGUGGGGAAUAUUGGACAAUGGGCGCAAGCCUGAUCCAGCCAUACCGCGUGGGUGAAGAAGGCCUUCGGGUUGUAAAGCCCUUUUGUUGGGAAAGAAAAGCAGCAGGUUAAUACCCCGCUGUUCUGACGGUACCCAAAGAAUAAGCACCGGCUAACUUCGUG
rnacentral:rRNA from 1 species